rnacentral:rRNA from 1 species
AGGCCCUCUCGCCGUAAGCCCAAGGUUUCCUACGCAACGUUCAUCGGCGUAGGGUGAGUCGGCCCCUAAGGCGAGGCAGAGAUGCGUAGCUGAUGGGAAGCAGGUUAAUAUUCCUGCACCGUCGUUUGAUGCGAUGGGGGGACGGAUCGCGGAACGUCAUCGGGGUGUUGGAUGUCCCCGUUGCUGUAUCGAAGAAGGCACUUAGGCAAAUCCGGGUGCGUAAUUCAAGGGUAUGGCACGAGCGAACUUGUUCGCGAAGUGAUCGGAAGUGGUUCCAAGAAAAGCCUCUAAGCUUCAGUCAAACGAGACCGUACCGCAAACCGACACAGGUGGGCGGGAUGAAUAUUCUAAGGCGCUUGAGAGAACUCAGGAGAAGGAACUCGGCAAAUUGAUACCGUAACUUCGGGAGAAGGUAUGCCCUUGUAGCGUGAUGAGCCUGCGCUCAAAGCGUGAAAGGGUCGCAGAGAAUCGGUGGCUGCGACUGUUUAAUAAAAACACAGCACUCUGCAAACACGAAAGUGGACGUAUAGGGUGUGACGCCUGCCCGGUGCCGGAAGGUUAAGUGAUGGGGUGCAAGCUCUUGAUCGAAGCCCCGGUAAACGGCGGCCGUAACGAUAACGGUCCUAAGGUAGCGAAAUUCCUUGUCGGGUAAGUUCCGACCUGCACGAAUGGCGUAACGAUGGCCACACUGUCUCCUCCUGAGACUCAGCGAAGUUGAAGUGUUUGUGAUGAUGCAAUCUACCCGCGGCUAGACGGAAAGACCCCAUGAACCUUUACUGUAGCUUUGCAUUGGACUGUGAACCGGUCUGUGUAGGAUAGGUGGGAGGCGCUGAAGCGAUGUCGCUAGAUGUCGUGGAGCCAACCUUGAAAUACCACCCUGAUUUGUUUGCGGUCCUAACCUUGGCCCGUUAUCCGGGUCGGGGACAGUGCAUGGUGGGCAGUUUGACUGGGGCGGUCUCCUCCUAAAGGGUAACGGAGGAGUUCGAAGGUACGCUAGGUACGGUCGGAAAUCGUGCUGAUAGUGCAAUGGCAUAAGCGUGCUUAACUGUGAGACUGACAAGUCGAACAGGUGCGAAAGCAGGACAUAGUGAUCCGGUGGUUCUGUAUGGAAGGGCCAUCGCUCAACGGAUAAAAGGUACUCUGGGAUAACAGGCUGAUACCGCCCAAGAGUUCAUAUCGACGGCGGUGUUUGGCACCUCGAUGUCGGCUCAUCUCAUCCUGGGGCUGUAGCCGGUCCCAAGGGUAUGGCUGUUCGCCAUUUAAAGAGGUACGUGAGCUGGGUUUAAAACGUCGUGAGACAGUUUGGUCCCUAUCUGCCGUGGGCGCUGGAAAUUUGACGGAGCCUGUUCCUAGUACGAGAGGACCGGAAUGGACGUACCUCUGGUGUACCGGUUGUCAUGCCAAUGGCAUUGCCGGGUAGCUAUGUACGGAAGAGAUAACCGCUGAAAAAGA